UUUGAGCGAACAGGGAAGAGCCCAGCACCGAACCCCGCAGGCUGCCGCCUGUCGUGGCAUGUGGUGUUUGGGAGGGUCCACUACCCCGACGCCUCGCGCCGAGCCCAAGUCCAACUUGAAUGAGGCCACGGCCCGUAGAGGGUGCCAGGCCCGUAGCGGCCGGUGCGAGCGUCGGCGGGACCUCUCCUUCGAGUCGGGUUGCUUGAGAGUGCAGCUCCAAGUGGGUGGUAAACUCCAUCUGAGACUAAAUAUGACCACGAGACCGAUAGCGAACAAGUACCGUGAGGGAAAGUUGAAAAGAACUUUGAAGAGAGAGUUCWRAAGKACGUGAAACGUUCUGGGAAACGUGAGAAGUCCGAAAGGUCGAACGGGUGAGAUUCACGCCCAUCCGGCCACUGGCCCCCGCCCUCGGCAGAUGGGGCCGGCCGCCCGCGCGGAGCAAUCCGCGGCGGGGUCGUGUCCGGUUGCCUUUCCACUCGCCGCGGGGUGGGGCCGUUCCGGUGUGCGGUGGGCCGCACUUCUCCCCUAGUAGGACGUCGCGACCCGCUGGGUGCCGGCCUACGGCCCGGGUGCGCAGCCUGUCCUUCCGCGGGCCUCGGUUCGCGUCUGUUGGGCAGAGCCCCGGUGUCCUGGCUGGCUGCUCGGCGGUAUAUCUGGAGGAGUCGAUUCGCCCCUUUGGGCGCUCGGGCUCCCGGCAAGCGCGCGCGGUUCUUCCCGGAUGACGGACCUACCUGGCCCGGCCCCGGACCCGCGCCGCUGUUGGCUCGGGAUGCUCUCGGGCGGAAUAAUCGCUCCCGUCAGCGGCGCUUCAGCUUUGGACAAUUUCACGACCCGUCUUGAAACACGGACCAAGGAGUCUAACAUGUGCGCGAGUCAUUGGGCUGUACGAAACCUAAAGGCGUAAUGAAAGUGAAGGUCUCGCCUUGCGCGGGCCGAGGGAGGAUGGGGCUUCCCCGCCCUUCACGGGGCGGCGGCCUCCGCACUCCCGGGGCGUCUCGUCCUCAUUGCGAGGUGAGGCGCACCUAGAGCGUACACGUUGGGACCCGAAAGAUGGUGAACUAUGCCUGGCCAGGACGAAGUCAGGGGAAACCCUGAUGGAGGUCCGUAGCGAUUCUGACGUGCAAAUCGAUCGUCGGAGCUGGGUAUAGGGGCGAAAGACUAAUCGAACCAUCUAGUAGCUGGUUCCCUCCGAAGUUUCCCUCAGGAUAGCUGGUGCUCGUACGAGUCUCAUCCGGUAAAGCGAAUGAUUAGAGGCCUUGGGGCCGAAACGACCUCAACCUAUUCUCAAACUUUAAAUGGGUGAGAUCUCCGGCUUGCUUGAUAUGCUGAAGCCGCGAGCAAACGACUCGGAUCGGAGUGCCAAGUGGGCCACUUUUGGUAAGCAGAACUGGCGCUGUGGGAUGAACCAAACGCCGAGUUAAGGCGCCCGAAUCGACGCUCAUGGGAAACCAUGAAAGGCGUUGGUUGCUUAAGACAGCAGGACGGUGGCCAUGGAAGUCGGAAUCCGCUAAGGAGUGUGUAACAACUCACCUGCCGAAGCAACUAGCCCUGAAAAUGGAUGGCGCUGAAGCGUCGUGCCUAUACUCGGCCGUCAGUCUGGCAGUCAUGGCCGGUCCUUGCGGCCGGCCGCGAAGCCCUGACGAGUAGGAGGGUCGCGGCGGUGGGCGCAGAAGGGUCUGGGCGUGAGCCUGCCUGGAGCCGCCGUCGGUGCAGAUCUUGGUGGUAGUAGCAAAUACUCCAGCGAGGCCCUGGAGGGCUGACGCGGAGAAGGGUUUCGUGUGAACAGCCGUUGCACACGAGUCAGUCGAUCCUAAGCCCUAGGAGAAAUCCGAUGUUGAUGGGGGCCGUCAUAGCAUGAUGCACUUUGUGCUGGCCCCCGUUGGGCGAAAGGGAAUCCGGUUCCUAUUCCGGAACCCGGCAGCGGAACCGAUACAAGUCGGGCCCCUCUUUUAGAGAUGCUCGUCGGGGUAACCCAAAAGGACCCGGAGACGCCGUCGGGAGAUCGGGGAAGAGUUUUCUUUUCUGCAUGAGCGUUCGAGUUCCCUGGAAUCCUCUAGCAGGGAGAUAGGGUUUGGAACGCGAAGAGCACCGCAGUUGCGGCGGUGUCCCGAUCUUCCCCUCGGACCUUGAAAUCCGGGAGAGGGCCACGUGGAGGUGUCGCCCCGGUUCGUACCCAUAUCCGCAGCA
rnacentral:rRNA from 1 species